rnacentral:rRNA from 1 species
GUGGUUUAAUUCGAUGCAAAGCGAAGAACCUUACCAAGGCUUGACAUACUGGCUCAAGCUAAUGUGAAAGCAUUUUGUGCUGUAAGGCUUGCCUUACAUAGUCAGUACAGGUGCUGCAUGGCUGUCGUCAGCUCGUGCCGUGAGGUGUCCGGUUAAGUCCGGUAACGAGCGCAACCCCUAUGUUUAGUUGCCAGCACGUAAGGUGGGAACUCUAAAGAGACUGCCGGCGACAAGCCGGAGGAAGGCGGGGACGACGUCAAGUCAUCAUGGCCCUUAUGCCUUGGGCUACACACAUGCUACAAUGGCGGAUACAAUGGGUUGCCAAACUGUGAAGUGGAGCCAAUCCCAUCAAAGUCCGUCCCAGUUCGAAUUGCAGGCUGCAACUCGCCUGCAUGAAGUUUGAAUCGCUAGUAAUCGUGGAUCAGCACUGCCACGGUGAAUACGUUCCCGGGCCUUGCACACACCGCCCGUCACACCACGAAAGUCGGUUCUACCCGAAGUGGUUGAGCUAACCCGCAAGGGGGGCAGACUCCUAAGGUAGGGCUGGUGAUUGGGGUGAAGUCGUAACAAGGUAGCCGUA